rnacentral:rRNA from 1 species
UACGAGGGGGGCAAAUGUUGUUCGGAAUCACUGGGCGUAAAGGGAGCGUAGGCGGGUUUCUAAGUCAGGUGUUUAAUCCCGGGGCCCAACCCCGGACAGGCACUUGAAACUGGGAAUCUUGAAUAGUGAAGAGGUCAGUGGAAUUGGGGGUGUAGCGGUGGAAUGCGUAGAGAUCCCCAAGAACACCAGUUGCGAAGGCGGCUGACUGGACACAUAUUGACGCUGAGGCUCGAAAGCAUGGGGAGCAAACAGG